AAUCCAUAGGUUAAUGAGGCGAACCGGGGGAACUGAAACAUCUAAGUACCCCGAGGAAAAGAAAUCAACCGAGAUUCCCCCAGUAGCGGCGAGCGAACGGGGAGGAGCCCAGAGCCUGAAUCAGCAUGUGUGUUAGUGGAAGCGUCUGGAAAGGCGCGCGAUACAGGGUGACAGCCCCGUACACAAAAGCGCAUGUGCUGUGAGCUCGAUGAGUAGGGCGGGACACGUGGUAUCCUGUCUGAAUAUGGGGGGACCAUCCUCCAAGGCUAAAUACUCCUGACUGACCGAUAGUGAACCAGUACCGUGAGGGAAAGGCGAAAAGAACCCCGGCGAGGGGAGUGAAAAAGAACCUGAAACCGUGUACGUACAAGCAGUGGGAGCACCCUUUUGGGUGUGACUGCGUACCUUUUGUAUAAUGGGUCAGCGACUUAUAUUCUGUAGCAAGGUUAACCGAAUAGGGGAGCCGUAGGGAAACCGAGUCUUAACCGGGCGUUAAGUUGCAGGGUAUAGACCCGAAACCCGGUGAUCUAGCCAUGGGCAGGUUGAAGGUUGGGUAACACUAACUGGAGGACCGAACCGACUAAUGUUGAAAAAUUAGCGGAUGACCUGUGGCUGGGGGUGAAAGGCCAAUCAAACCGGGAGAUAGCUGGUUCUCCCCGAAAGCUAUUUAGGUAGCGCCUCGUGAAUUCAUCUCCGGGGGUAGAGCACUGUUUCGGCUAGGGGGCCAUCCCGGCUUACCAACCCGAUGCAAACUGCGAAUACCGGAGAAUGUUAUCACGGGAGACACACGGCGGGUGCUAACGUCCGUCGUGAAGAGGGAAACAACCCAGACCGCCAGCUAAGGUCCCAAAGUCAUGGUUAAGUGGGAAACGAUGUGGGAAGGCCCAGACAGCCAGGAUGUUGGCUUAGAAGCAGCCAUCAUUUAAAGAAAGCGUAAUAGCUCACUGGUCGAGUCGGCCUGCGCGGAAGAUGUAACGGGGCUAAACCAUGCACCGAAGCUGCGGCAGCGACACUGUGUGUUGUUGGGUAGGGGAGCGUUCUGUAAGCCUGUGAAGGUGGCCUGUGAGGGUUGCUGGAGGUAUCAGAAGUGCGAAUGCUGACAUAAGUAACGAUAAAGCGGGUGAAAAGCCCGCUCGCCGGAAGACCAAGGGUUCCUGUCCAACGUUAAUCGGGGCAGGGUGAGUCGACCCCUAAGGCGAGGCCGAAAGGCGUAGUCGAUGGGAAACAGGUUAAUAUUCCUGUACUUGGUGUUACUGCGAAGGGGGGACGGAGAAGGCUAUGUUGGCCGGGCGACGGUUGUCCCGGUUUAAGCGUGUAGGCUGGUUUUCCAGGCAAAUCCGGAAAAUCAAGGCUGAGGCGUGA
rnacentral:rRNA from 1 species